GGACGAACGCUGGCGGCGUGCCUAACACAUGCAAGUCGAGCAGAGGGGAUAGGAGCUUGCUUCUUGAACCUCAGCGGCGGACGCGUGAGUAACACGUGGGUAACCUGCCCUUGAGAGGGGGAUAACAGGUCGAAAGGCCUGCUAAUACCGCAUAACGCUAAGAAGCUGCAUGGCGUCUUAGCCAAAGGUUAAUUCCGCUCAAGGAUGGGCCCGCGGCCCAUUAGCUAGUUGGUGAGGUAAUGGCUCACCAAGGCGACGAUGGGUAGCCGGCCUGAGAGGGUGGUCGGCCACACUGGGACUGAGACACGGCCCAGACUCCUACGGGAGGCAGCAGUGGGGAAUAUUGCGCAAUGGGGGAAACCCUGACGCAGCGACGCCGCGUGAGCGAUGAAGGCCUUCGGGUUGUAAAGCUCUGUCUUCCCUGACGAUAAUGACGGUAAGGGAGGAGGAAGCCACGGCUAACUACGUGCCAGCAGCCGCGGUAAUACGUAGGUGGCGAGCGUUGUCCGGAAUUACUGGGCGUAAAGGGUGCGUAGGCGGCUCUUUAAGUGGGAUGUGAAAUCCCUGGGCUCAACCCAGGAACUGCAUUCCAAACUGGAGAGCUAGAGUGCAGGAGAGGAAAGCGGAAUUCCCAGUGUAGCGGUGAAAUGCGUAGAGAUUGGGAGGAACACCAGUGGCGAAGGCGGCUUUCUGGACUGUAACUGACGCUGAGGCACGAAAGCGUGGGGAGCAAACAGGAUUAGAUACCCUGGUAGUCCACGCUGUAACGAUGGGUACUAAAUGGUUAUAGGCCGAAGCCCUUCUGUGCCGCAGCUAACGCAUAGUACUCCGCCUGGGGGAGUACGGUCGCAAGACUAAAGCUCAAACGUAUCGACGAGAGACCGCCCAAGCAGCCGUGCAUGUGCUGUAAUUCGAAGCAACGCUAAGCACCUACGCAGGGCUGGACAUCCACCGAACCAUGUAGAAACACGGUGGUGCCCUUCGGGGAACGGUGAGACAGGUGAAGCAUGGUUGUCGUCAGCUGAAGUCGUGAGAUGUUGGGUUAAGUCCCGCAACGAGCGCAAUCCUCCCCUGUACAAUACUGCAAUUUGGUUCGUCACUUUAGAGUGAGGGCCGGGUUUCAGUAGGAGGAAGGCGGGGAUGACUUCAAAUCAUCAUGCCCAUUAUGGCCUGGGUGACACACGCGCUCCAAUGGCAGGUACAAUGAGGUGCAAACAUCCGAGGGGGAAAUAAUCUCAAAAACAGGUCCCCAUUCAGAUUGUAGGCUGCAACUGGCAUACACGAACCUGGAGUCGUUAGUAAUCCCGGAUAAGCACGGGUUACCGAAUACGUUCUCGGGCGUCGUACA
rnacentral:rRNA from 1 species